GCGGGUCUAAGUAUAAGCAUUUAUACAGUGAAACUGCGAAUGGCUCAUUAAAUCAGUUAUCGUUUAUUUGAUAGUACCUUUACUACAUGGUUAUAACCGUGGUAAUUCUAGAGCUAAUACAUGCUAAAAAUCCCGACUGUUUGGAAGGGAUGUAUUUAUUAGAUAAAAAACCAAUGCUCUUCGGAGCUCUUGGAUGAUUCAUAAUAACUUUUCGAAUCGCAUGGCUUCAUUGCCGGCGAUGGUUCAUUCAAAUUUCUGCCCUAUCAACUUUCGAUGGUAGGAUAGUGGCCUACCAUGGUUUCAACGGGUAACGGGGAAUUAGGGUUCGAUUCCGGAGAGGGAGCCUGAGAAACGGCUACCACAUCCAAGGAAGGCAGCAGGCGCGCAAAUUACCCAAUCCUGACGCAGGGAGGUAGUGACAAUACAUAACGAUACAGGGCCCUUUCGGGUCUUGUAAUUGGAAUGAGUACAAUGUAAAUACCUUAACGAGGGAACAAUUGGAGGGCGAGUCUGGUGCCACCAAACANAAA
rnacentral:rRNA from 1 species